GGGGGGAGGUUUUUUAUGUCUAAAUCCCGGUUUGAUCUGCGUAUACUGUCAGACUGGCGGUGUGUAAUAGUAGCAGUGUGUGUGUGUUGGGGGCAGCCACUGGAAGUGACGUCACCGCGGUGUAAACAGUCAGGAAAUGAAUCCUCUCUCGGCGGCUGCGGGAGCGCGCACGCCCUCGCACCACCCUCCUCAGAGAAACGGGCGCUCAGCAUCAUCAGCAUCCAGUGACGACGUCCAUGAGGAGAUGAAGGUGAGCCAGCCUUUCUGAUCAAAGCACCCGUCUAUAAAGCUCAAGGCUGGCCUUCCUCGGUGGGGAUGUCAACACAUCUACUUCUAAGUCGAGGCAGAGGGAUGGGAAAAGGAGACCGGAAUGACUAGAAGCCCCCGCAGGCAUCUGCCACUCAUCUGCCACUCAACCGAUGCAGAUCCAGUGUGAUUUUUAACUCCUUAAUACUUGAUUGUAUUAUCUCGGGCGUGAUAAAAUAAGUCAGUGUUUCAGCCGAGAGCAACAAAGUGUCAGUCAGAAACUGCAGUGAAGAUAUGCUAAAAGGUUUUCUGUGCUUCUGGCGCAGACAAGCAGAUACAGAGCAGAUUAUGCUUUAUUAGCUGUUCAUGGAGACUUAAUUGUGAGAUCAAAGUUAACAGUGUUCCAUCGGUGCGAGGCAGAGCAGAUUUCAUUAGGCUGAGUAAUAUCAGCGCAAUAAUAGUGUCAUCUGCGCACAGCAAGUUCAGAGGAUCUUAAUAAUAUUUCUGGACAAACUGGAAGAGGAAAUUCAUCCGCACGAAUGGCAAAAUGUCUCCAAGCUUCUAGGAAAACAGUAAUAAACAAGAGAUACAGCGGAAUUUGGCUUGAUGGUUGCACUCUGCAGCUGCCCUGGUCAAUCAGAAAUAUCACACACAAGACUAAAACAAAUCCACUCAUGCAGAAUCCAGUAACAAAGUAAUAUAAUGGCCAUACAUGGGAAAAAAGAUGCAAACGAUCCACGGUUCACAGACCAGGAGGAGGAGUAGCCCGAAAAAUCUGAGGAGAUGAUCUCAAAUCAUUAUGAAGUAUGUUAAAAUCUACUUAAAAGAUCCAAGUGAGCCUAAUUUAUGGUUAAAAACUUAGGUUGAAGAGACACACACACAGUUACAGUGUUUAUGGUGAGUGCUGCAAGUUAGGUCCUAAGUGUAGAGCAUAUACCCAGCCCCUUAAUGUAGUAGAAUAUGAUAUAGUAAGGGCAGUAUUAGGGAUGGUGUGCUUCACCUUGUAAUUAGUAGUGGAGGGAUAAUAGCUGUUUCCUGUGCAUUGCAUCUCUAAGAUAAAGAAACUAUUAUUCAGAUGUUGUGAUUGUUUGCUGCUACUUCCAGAAUUUAAUCUAAGUGCUGUCAUAAAGUUCCCACCAUAAAAAGGAAAAGAAAGAAAAAACACCUGAUUUUAGUUUGGUUAAUCUACCCUAUCUUUAUCUUCGCGCUCUUAGGCAGCUCAAGUGGUGAUGCUAUUUUUAGAUCUUUCCUGGAAGACCCAUUUCAACCACUCGCCCUGAUGCAUUUGCAAUGUGUGCUGCAUCCUUCAGUGGGCAAAAUUGUGGCUCUUAGGAGAGGACAAGUUGCUUUUAGGAUGUUACAGUAGAACUUGGCAUUGAUAGGCUGACCCUGGGGCAUGAAUUUAUGGUUCAGGAUUCUGUGAAUGCCAAAAAAACUAGUGAGCAUGCUUCUUGUCAUUCUCCUGACCAAAUGCACCGCCGUUAGGUUUGGACACAUUGGUCGCUUCCACUGAAACCUGCCGUUUUGUGAUAUUGAAGUUAUUUGCUGUCUGCAAACACGGUAUAUCAACUUCAUGGUGAAUGAGGCUUCAACCAAGUGCUCUAACUAUAUGGAAGAACUGCAGAGGUGCACGAGGGGGUGAUGUUGAAGGGAUAUCAGCCAAAUUUAAAUCAGGUAAUAUUAUUUGAUUUCAUUACUGAGGAGUCAAACAAGUUUGUGAUCUGACUACUGAGGUGUAAGAAUUCCUAAAAGCCCUUUCCCUCAUUAAAAAUAACUUGACUCUAUUAUUUGUGAGGCUGAGGGGGUUACAGCAUCAGUGUUAUGUUGCUAAUUAAAG
ensembl:lncRNA